AAUUUAUUUAAUCUUUUUUGUUUAAUUUAUUUGAAUCAUCUUUGUUUGUAUUUGUUAAAGAAAAUUAUUUUUGUUUUUAGUACUGAGAAGGAAUUAUUUAAUUAUUUAAUAAUUAAGGUGGAUUUUUGUACCUUUUGUAUCAUGGUUUAGUAAAUUAAUAAAAUAAUGUUUUUUUUAGAAAAAAACUGAUAAAUUACUUUUUUGUUUAGAACUUAUUUUAAUUUGUAGAAAAAAAUUAUAUAAAAAAAGUUUUAGAAAUGAAACGUUUGUCGAAGUUUUUUAUAGCUAAUUUUUACCGAAAUUUAUUUUAGUAAAUCAAAAAUUUUUUUGUGAUAUAAUGAGGGAUAAUCUUUAUUAUAUAUUUUAAGGAUUAAUUUUAAAAAAUAAAUAAUAUUUUAAUUUAAAAUCGGUUUUUUUUUUAAUGUCGUUAUAGGUUAUUUUAUAUGUUUUUUUAAAAUUUUUAUUAUAAUCUUUUUAUAUAGGUAAAAUUUAAUUUAUUUUUAUGUUUUUAAAAUUAUGCUAAAAUUAGUAUUAUUAUUUAUAUUUUGUUAUUUAUUUUUUGUUAUAUAACAUAUUAUGUUUUAAUUAAUUUAUUUUAAUAUAGGAACUCGGCAAAAAUUUUUCUCGUCUGUUUAUCAAAAACAUAGCUUUUUGAAUUUUUAAAAAGUAAUUUCUGCCCGGUGUAUAUAUUAACGGCCGCGGUAUUUUGACCGUGCGAAGGUAGCAUAAUCAUUUGUCUUAUAAUUGAAGACUGGAAUGAAAGAAUUUACGAAGGAAAAUCUGUCUUUAUUAAGUUAUUAAAAUUUAUUGUUAAAGUGAAGAAACUUUUAAGAAGAAAUUAGACAAGAAGACCCUAUUGAGCUUUACUUUUUUUAUUUAUAAAAUGUAUUUAAAUUUUAUUUUUAUAUUUGAAAUUAGUUUGAUUGGGGCGAUUGAGGAAAUAUAUUAUAAACUUCCUUUUUUCUUUUUACUUAUUGGUUUUUGAUCCAUUUUUUAUGAUUAAAAGAAAAAGUUACCAUAGGGAUAACAGCGUAAUCUUUUUUUAGAGUUCUUAUCAAAAAAAAGGUUUGCGACCUCGAUGUUGGACUAAGAUAUCCCAAAGGUGUAGGUGCUUUUGAUGGUGGGUCUGUUCGACCUUUAAAAUCUUACAUGAUCUGAGUUCAGACCGGUUUAAGCCAGGUUGGUUUCUAUCUAUUUUUAGGAUUCUUUUUUUUAGUACGAAAGGACCAAAAAAAGAAAAUUAUUUUUAUUUUUGAAAAUUUUAAUAAUUUAAUAAAAAUUAUUUUUUU
rnacentral:rRNA from 1 species